GGGGAUGCAAUUGUAUCGACAAGAAUUGUACUUUAAAAACUGCAAGCCGGCAAUGAUUCAAAGCCGUAAAAAAGGAUCAAAAAUACAUGCUGACGGCACGUCCAUCAGCCGCAAGGUUAAGCAGUUCGCUGCUGACCUUAUGCCUUCAAGGGGAUUCGUCCCUGCGUUUGCAGCUGCGUAAGCAGGCGUAUUCAUGUCGCUUCUUUUCCUAAACGGAUUAGGCAUGAGUAUAAACACAGUUUGGGAUAGGACAAUAAAAAUGAUUUGAUUAUUGUCCAAAAAAUAAAAUCUUGGAAUUGCUCUUCCUGUUAAUUGGUUAAUAGCAAAACGACAAUUAUUAAUUAACUACGCUUGUAGAUGUUUUUAGAUAUGAUUUUUGGACGGGGGUUCAUUACCCCCCAUCUCCACAC
rnacentral:tmRNA from 1 species